UGCCAAGCGAAGCAGGGCGUUGGGUGGAUGCCUAGGGGCCAGGAGCCGAAGAAGGGCGCGGAGAGCGGCGAAACGUGGAUGGGGAGCUGCACGCGAGCGAUGAGCCAUCCGAACCCGAAUGGGGCAACCUAUCACCUGUCAUGAGGUGAUGCCGCCGGCUGAAUGAAAUAGGCCGUGCGGUGGGAACCGCGGGAACUGAAACAUCUCAGUACCGUGAGGAGAGGA
rnacentral:rRNA from 1 species